rnacentral:rRNA from 1 species
GAUGAACGCUAGCGGCAGGCUUAACACAUGCAAGUCGAGGGGUAUGCCGAUUUAUCGGCAGAGACCGGCGCACGGGUGCGUAACGCGUAUGCAAUCUACCUUUCACAGAGGGAUAGCCCAGAGAAAUUUGGAUUAAUACCUCAUAGUAUAGCAAUUUCGCAUGAAACCACUAUUAAAGUUCCAACGGUGAAAGAUGAGCAUGCGUCCCAUUAGCUAGAUGGUAAGGUAACGGCUUACCAUGGCUACGAUGGGUAGGGGUCCUGAGAGGGAGAUCCCCCACACUGGUACUGAGACACGGACCAGACUCCUACGGGAGGCAGCAGUGAGGAAUAUUGGUCAAUGGACGCAAGUCUGAACCAGCCAUGCCGCGUGCAGGAUGACGGUCCUAUGGAUUGUAAACUGCUUUGUACGAGAAGAAACACAUUACGUGUAAUGUCUUGACGGUAUCGUAAGAAUAAGGAUCGGCUAACUACGUGCCAG